UCCUGCAUAAUACUUUGUUCACACUAAUUUACAACCCAAGCACAAGAAUCUCAAUAAUUACAAUAUAUUAUUACUCUAAUUUUCAUAAACUUAAUAAGUAGAAGUUAUUACCUCUUGUUUGAAGAAUUUGUGCUUCACGUUUGCUUGUAGAUUAACUUUGAAUAUUCUCUUUGAUAACGAUUACUCUAAUCCUUCUAUCCUCUCUAACAGUCAUAUGUGAAGAGAAAGAAAAAACCUACGACUUAAACAAGGUAGAGAGUUGAUUCAUGUUCUAAAAUUACAUAUUGAAGAUAAAUUCAUGUUCAAAAUCAUUACCUGAAAGGGCUUGGUCGAGCAAUUGGAGAAGAAUUACACCACCGCCUACCAUGGCUUCACCGCCGCUCUCCGAAAUCACCUGGGCUACAGCCCACCCCAGCUCAAGUGUGGCUCCGCCCCUGCAUGCAUAUGCUGGAGAUAAUAUUUUUACUCCAGUGGAGAGGGAGUUAGUUUUUGACAUAGUAAGUUGAAUGAGUUCUGAAUAAACACAACAAAAUGAAUUUUACAGAUACAAAUUUAUUUUAAUUUGAUAUGUUUGAAUCAUAUUUGUACAACAGGAUAUGACAGAUUAUGAUGAUGUUAGAUAUUGCUGUUUAGGAGCCGAUGUUUGCUUGGACUGUUGGCCACUAAUGACAGUUGCCAUUAAAGUACUUGAUACUGCCCUGAGAGGUGUUUAUUUCUUGCUAUUGUGAUGUCUGUCAAAGGUUUAAGUAGUUAAAU
rnacentral:lncRNA from 1 species